AGGACGAACGCUGGCGGCGUGCUUAACACAUGCAAGUGGAGCGACGAACCAGGGCUUGCCCUGGGGCAGAGCCGCGAACGGGUGAGUAACACGUGGGUUACCUACCCCGAUGACCGGGACAACCCGAGGAAACUCGGGCUAAUACCGGAUGUGGUCUUCGGACGAAAGGAAGCUUCGGCCUCCGCAUCGGGAUGGGCCCGCGGCGCAUUAGCUUGUUGGUGGGGUAACGCCUACCAAGGCGACGAUGCGUAGCUGGUCUGAGAGGACGAUCAGCCACACUGGGACUGAGACACGGCCCAGACUCCUACGGGAGGCAGCAGUGGGGAAUCUUGCGCAAUGCGCGAAAGCGUGACGCAGCAACGCCGCGUGGGGGAAGAAGGCCUGGUUGUAACCUCGUUUCAGUUGGGACGAAGCCUCGUCGGUUAAUAGCCGG
rnacentral:rRNA from 1 species